CUGAGGGUGUAUAUCCCAUACACCAUCAGGUACUAACAGAGAAACUAAUAAUCAUGUAUUGGUUUUUGGUGUUCUUGACCAAUAGAUCACUGGUGAUGGUUGUAGUUUUAGUAAUUAACAUGUAGCUGCAAUACUUAUAAAUUUCACCAGCUAAAUUCCAAAAACAUCAAAUUAAUUAAAUAUAAGAUGAUGCACAGAUAUUUGUCCUUAUUUCCGGAAUUUCAAUUCAUGGAGUGUUGGCGCGCCUAUGUGCCAGAGGUAGACCAACAGUGGAUUUCAAAAGCCCUGUUCAAAUACAGCAGUAAGGGCCACCCUGAGCUGGAUGAAAGGAAGUUGGAUGGUUUUUUGUACGAAUCCCCAAAGUCCCAGUUGCUGCCAAACCUAAAGCCUAGACUUGACAGUUCAGUGCUUCUGGAAAGCCACAACCAUACCUAAGCUGCAGUAAUCUACAAAGCACUACAGGGAAAGGGAGCUGGAUGCUGAGCAGGCAGGGGAGUUCCGGAGAAAGUACAACAAGACGCUGCAAUACCGCAGUUGAAAUAAGUGUUUUGAGGACAGGAACACUGGUGAAUAUAAACAAUAUUAUGGACAUUGGGGAUGUCCCUUGAAGUCCUUGGGAACUUAUGAAGAGUGGAAAGAGGCCCUUAAGAUGAAGGGCUAUGGAAAGAAGAAAACUGGAAACGAUAAUAAUUAAUAUCUGGACAUUCAUGCAUAAACAAUAUCCGGAAUAAAUAACAUUUUUUGACACUGUGCGUUUGGACUAUAAAAAACAACAGAAAUAACAUUCACUUUAACAACAGGACUUGUACCAAUUAAAGUAACAAUUAAAAAAAUAUAUUUUAAUGCUGCCUAGCUUUAAUUCAGUAUUGCUCUGUAAUUUAUUCAUUUAUGUUUUGCUUAUAUAAAAGCUAGAAGGUCCCAAGCCCGUAUGGUACAUGUAAUAAGUAAAGUGACAUCUGCCUUGAAAAGCAAAGGGAAAAUUUGUUGAAUAAACUUCAAUACAUGUA